rnacentral:rRNA from 1 species
UAGCCGUAAACGAUACUCGCUAGGUGUCGGCCACGGUGCGACCGUUGUCGGUGCCGUAGGGAAGCCGUGAAGCGAGCCACCUGGGAAGUACGGCCGCAAGGCUGAAACUUAAAGGAAUUGGCGGGGGAGCACAACAACGGGUGGAGCUUGCGGUUUAAUUGGAUUCAACGCCGGAAAUCUUACCGGGACCGACAGCAACAUGAAGGCCAAGCUGAAGACCUUGCCGGAUUAGCUGAGAGGUGGUGCAUGGCGUCAGUGACU